rnacentral:rRNA from 1 species
UUGAAAGGGAAACGAUUGAAGUCAGUCGUGCUGGCGCGAAAUCAACCUUCUCGUCUUGAGAUCACAUGGCGUGGCGAGCCUCAAAACCGUCACGAAGCGUGAACUCUUGGUGAAAUGGAGCACUUUCGUGUCCGCUGGUUAACAUCAAUUUCGAACGUCAUAAAAAGGCUGGAGGGAUGUGGCUCCUUCGGGAGUGUUAUAACCUCUAGCGGAAUGUGGUGUUCGGGAUCGAGGAUUGCAACGAAUACCUUUAGGGCUGUUCCACCUGGCUUCUCUUUGGUAUCCUGGUGACGACAGCUUGCUGACGUCGUUAGGAUUCGCCUUUGAACAGGCUAGAGUGUGAGCAAAUUCGUUAAGGAUGUUGACGUA